rnacentral:lncRNA from 1 species
UUAGAAACAUUUACUAUACAAAAGCAAACAUUUAGGAAGAGUCAGAAAUUGCGAUCCUGGAGAUUAUCCCAUAGAUGUUCAGCAAGAUUUGGAAAGAUCUAUAGAGUUUUAUGAAGGCUGCUAAUGGCUAGAGAGUUUAAUGACUAGACUGCAUUUAGUAACCUUGGUAAUGCUCAUGUUUCUCUUUGAGAAUUUCAAAUAGCUAUACAAUAUUACUAAUGAGAAAAUUUCAAGCAUAAAUUUUUUUCAGAGUUUUUCAGGAUCUGCUGCAUAUUUUAUUGGAACACUAUUUAACAUUAAAGUAUGUAAGAAUCAGCUAAUUGAGUGGAUGAUUUCAGAUAAUGCUGAUGUUGUCAGCAUAUUUGUUAUAAAUCUGAAUGGGUUAUUAUGAUUGAACAAUGAGGAAACCUUACUAAAUGUUUCA